GUGCGUAGGUGGGCAGGUAAGUCAGUGGUGAAAUCUCUGAGCUUAACUCAGAAACUGCCGUUGAUACUAUCUGUCUUGAAUAUCGUGGAGGUGAGCGGAAUAUGUCAUGUAGCGGUGAAAUGCUUAGAUAUGACAUAGAACACCAAUUGCGAAGGCAGCUCGCUACACGGUUAUUGACACUGAGGCACGAAAGCGUGGGGAUCAAACAGGAUUAGAUACCCUGGUAGUCCACGCCCUAAACGAUGGAUACUCGACAUCAGCGAUACACAGUUGGUGUCUGAGCGAAAGCAUUAAGUAUCCCACCUGGGAAGUACGACCGCAAGGUUGAAACUCAAAGGAAUUGA
rnacentral:rRNA from 1 species